rnacentral:rRNA from 1 species
GAUUCUGGCUCAGGAUGAACGCUGGCGGCGUGCUUAACACAUGCAAGUCGAACGGAGUUUAUUUAAAGCUUGCUUUUGAUAAACUAGUGGCGGACGGGUGAGUAACGCGUGGGUAACCUGCCUUAUACCGGGGGAUAACGUUUGGAAACGAACGCUAAUACCGCAUAAGCGCACGAGAUCGCAUGAUCCAGUGUGAAAAACUCCGGUGGUAUAAGAUGGACCCGCGUCUGAUUAGAUAGUUGGUGAGGUAACGGCCCACCAAGUCGACGAUCAGUAGCCGGCCUGAGAGGGUGAACGGCCACAUUGGGACUGAGACACGGCCCAAACUCCUACGGGAGGCAGCAGUGGGGAAUAUUGCACAAUGGGGGAAACCCUGAUGCAGCGACGCCGCGUGAGUGAAGAAGUAUUUCGGUAUGUAAAGCUCUAUCAGCAGGGAAGAAAAUGACGGUACCUGAGUAAGAAGCCCCGGCUAACUACGUGCCAGCCGCCGC